rnacentral:rRNA from 1 species
UACGUAGGUGGCAAGCGUUGUCCGGAUUUACUGGGUGUAAAGGGCGUGCAGCCGGGCUGACAAGUCAGAUGUGAAAUCCCGCGGCUCAACCGCGGAACUGCAUUUGAAACUGUCAGUCUUGAGUACCGGAGAGGUCAUCGGAAUUCCUUGUGUAGCGGUGAACUGCGUAGAUAUAAGGAAGAACACCAGUGGCGAAGGCGGAUGACUGGACGGCAACUGACGGUGAGGCGCGAAAGCGUGGGGAGCAAACAGG